ACCAUGUUGGCCUGGCUGGUCUCGAGCUCUUAACCUCAGGUAAUCCACCCACCUUGGCAUCCCAAAGUGCUGGGAUUACAGGCGUGAGCCACCAUGCCUAGCCUGGGUCAGUUGCAUCUUAACGGCUCCUGGCAGUGAGCCCAGUAGCCCCUGGUUGUCCACCGGUGGUUGUAGUGGUUCCAAACCUCAUUUCUUUGCAGUGCCAAACCCAGAGGAAGACAGAGUGCAUCCCAGCAUUCCCAGCUAGACUGAGGUCAUGUGACAUCCAGUGCCCAAUCAUGUGACCAGAGGAAUGCUGUAUGCUGAUUGGCUUGGGCAUGAGGGAUUUUUUUUUUUUUUUUAAUUUAGAAACAGCUUUAUUGAGCUGUAACUUACAUACCAUAAUAUUCACUCCCACCACAUGCUAGAGAGAAUUUUGUAAAUGGAGUAAAAUUACACUCCAACAGUAUAAAUUGUGCACAUAAAAAUAAAGUUUUAGGCAUGAGCCACCGUGCCCGGGCUUCAACUGUUUUUAUAAUGAUU
rnacentral:lncRNA from 10 species